rnacentral:rRNA from 2 species
AGAGUUUGAUCAUGGCUCAGAUUGAACGCUGGCGGCAGGCCUAACACAUGCAAGUCGAGCGGUAGCACAGAGAGCUUGCUCUCGGGUGACGAGCGGCGGACGGGUGAGUAAUGUCUGGGAAACUGCCUGAUGGAGGGGGAUAACUACUGGAAACGGUAGCUAAUACCGCAUAACGUCGCAAGACCAAAGUGGGGGACCUUCGGGCCUCAUGCCAUCAGAUGUGCCCAGAUGGGAUUAGCUAGUAGGUGGGGUAAUGGCUCACCUAGGCGACGAUCCCUAGCUGGUCUGAGAGGAUGACCAGCCACACUGGAACUGAGACACGGUCCAGACUCCUACGGGAGGCAGCAGUGGGGAAUAUUGCACAAUGGGCGCAAGCCUGAUGCAGCCAUGCCGCGUGUGUGAAGAAGGCCUUCGGGUUGUAAAGCACUUUCAGCGGGGAGGAAGGCGGUGAGGUUAAUAACCUCAUCGAUUGACGUUACCCGCAGAAGAAGCACCGGCUAACUCCGUGCCAGCAGCCGCGGUAAUACGGAGGGUGCAAGCGUUAAUCGGAAUUACUGGGCGUAAAGCGCACGCAGGCGGUCUGUCAAGUCGGAUGUGAAAUCCCCGGGCUCAACCUGGGAACUGCAUUCGAAACUGGCAGGCUAGAGUCUUGUAGAGGGGGGUAGAAUUCCAGGUGUAGCGGUGAAAUGCGUAGAGAUCUGGAGGAAUACCGGUGGCGAAGGCGGCCCCCUGGACAAAGACUGACGCUCAGGUGCGAAAGCGUGGGGAGCAAACAGGAUUAGAUACCCUGGUAGUCCACGCCGUAAACGAUGUCGAUUUGGAGGUUGUGCCCUUGAGGCGUGGCUUCCGGAGCUAACGCGUUAAAUCGACCGCCUGGGGAGUACGGCCGCAAGGUUAAAACUCAAAUGAAUUGACGGGGGCCCGCACAAGCGGUGGAGCAUGUGGUUUAAUUCGAUGCAACGCGAAGAACCUUACCUGGUCUUGACAUCCACAGAACUUUCCAGAGAUGGAUUGGUGCCUUCGGGAACUGUGAGACAGGUGCUGCAUGGCUGUCGUCAGCUCGUGUUGUGAAAUGUUGGGUUAAGUCCCGCAACGAGCGCAACCCUUAUCCUUUGUUGCCAGCGGUCCGGCCGGGAACUCAAAGGAGACUGCCAGUGAUAAACUGGAGGAAGGUGGGGAUGACGUCAAGUCAUCAUGGCCCUUACGACCAGGGCUACACACGUGCUACAAUGGCAUAUACAAAGAGAAGCGACCUCGCGAGAGCAAGCGGACCUCAUAAAGUAUGUCGUAGUCCGGAUUGGAGUCUGCAACUCGACUCCAUGAAGUCGGAAUCGCUAGUAAUCGUAGAUCAGAAUGCUACGGUGAAUACGUUCCCGGGCCUUGUACACACCGCCCGUCACACCAUGGGAGUGGGUUGCAAAAGAAGUAGGUAGCUUAACCUUCGGGAGGGCGCUUACCACUUUGUGAUUCAUGACUGGGGUGAAGUCGUAACAAGGUAACCGUAGGGGAACCUGCGGUUGGAUCACCU